UGAACGCUGGCGGCGUGCCUAAUACAUGCAAGUCGCGCGAACAGACGAGGAGCUUGCUCCUCUGACGUUAGCGGCGGACGGGUGAGUAACACGUGGAUAACCUACCUAUAAGACUGGGAUAACUUCGGGAAACCGGAGCUAAUACCGGAUAAUAUAUUGAACCGCAUGGUUCAAUAGUGAAAGACGGUUUUGCUGUCACUUAUAGAUGGAUCCGCGCCGCAUUAGCUAGUUGGUAAGGUAACGGCUUACCAAGGCAACGAUGCGUAGCCGACCUGAGAGGGUGAUCGGCCACACUGGAACUGAGACACGGUCCAGACUCCUACGUGAGGCAGCAGUAGGGAAUCUUCCGCAAUGGGCGAAAGCCUGACGGAGCAACGCCGCGUGAGUGAUGAAGGUCUUCGGAUCGUAAAACUCUGUUAUUAGGGAAGAACAAAUGUGUAAGUAACUAUGCACGUCUUGACGGUACCUAAUCAGAAAGCCACGGCUAACUACGUG
rnacentral:rRNA from 1 species